rnacentral:rRNA from 1 species
GACGAACGCUGGCGGCGUGCUUAACACAUGCAAGUCGAACGGUGAAGCGCCUUCCUUUUUGGUGGGUGUGGAUGAGUGGCGAACGGGUGAGUAACACGUGAGUAACCUGCCCCCUUCUUCUGGAUAACCGCAUGAAAGUGUGGCUAAUACGGGAUAUUCUGGGUCUGUCGCAUGAUGGGUCUGGGAAAGAUAUUGUUUCGGUGGGUGAUGGGCUCGCGGCCUAUCAGCUUGUUGGUGGGGUGAUGGCCUACCAAGGCGGUGACGGGUAGCCGGCGUGAGAGGGUGGACGGUCACACUGGGACUGAGACACGGCCCAGACUCCUACGGGAGGCAGCAGUGGGGAAUAUUGCACAAUGGGCGCAAGCCUGAUGCAGCGACGCCGCGUGAGGGAUGGAGGCCUUCGGGUUGUGAACCUCUUUCGCCAGUGAAGCAGGCCUGCCUCGUUUGUGGGUGGGUUGACGGUAGCUGGAUAAGAAGCGCCGGCUAACUACGUG